rnacentral:lncRNA from 1 species
GGGGGAACAGCCUGCAAAGGCAGGGGAACCAGAGAGCACCCAGGCAAUGAUGGCAUUGAUAGACCUCAAUUGAUGUGGCUAGAACACCAAGUGCUGGGGGUGUUUGGGGAGCUGGAGAGAGAUGAGGCAGAAGCAGCCAGCUGGAGUGGCUGAAGGAACUCAGUAGGACAUUAGGACUUUAUUGUCCAUAUUUUAAAUUUCAUUCUGUAUGUGGGCUGUGUCACUGCUAACUGUGCUUUUUAUGUGCAUUGUCUUAAUCAUCUUAACUGAAUUCCACUGUGUUCUCUGCAGUAGACAAUCCUAUUAAUGUGCUCAUUUUCCAGAGGGGAAUAGAGGCCCUGAGAGGAGGCCAGUUUGGCCCUGGAUCCUGUCCUCUUAGCAUUGAUCACCGACAUCAGUCCCAAGUCAGCAGACUUCUUAAUGUUUGCAUAGAAUGCCAGCGAUUAUCGAUUUAACCAGGUCCAGCCACCGUGAAUGAUGCUGUGGCAAAUCCUCUCACACUUCUUCCUGGAAACACUUGUGGCAUGAGUAUUGAAGGGCUUUACUCAGGGAAGGGGCAGAUCUGUGCUUAAGGAAGGUAUAGGGACUGCCCAAAACCGAGUUGUGGUUCGGAUGCACAAGCCUCGCCCUGCCUGGCCUGCUUCCGGUGUAAGAGGAGACCAGAUAAGGUGUCCUCCCAGCUCCUGCAGCAGAACCCCCCCUUUCCCCUCAUCCUUCCAGAAUUAACUGUCCCUUCAGCCAGAUGGGUCCUCUGAGCAUUGGACCAAACCUGGAGCAGGGAAUCCUCCACCUUUCUGACUCCCACAGCCCUGACUGGCUCCUGGGCUCUUUGAUGCUUAACCAUUUACAGUGCCACCAGAAGCCUCCAUGCCAAUCCAGCUGUAAUGUGAUCUUAAAAGAGGGGGAGCUGGGGAGGAGAGUGUGUGUGCUUCUACUUAAGAAGACUGCCUAGAGCAAGCUUUCUGGGGAAGGCUGGGUAUAUUAGCACAUAUUGCUCCACUUGCAUCCACUGGUUACAGCCCAGUCCCAUGGCCACGUCUACAUGCAAGGGAUGUUGGGAAAUAGAGGUUAGUUGUGGUCUUAAGAGGAAGAAGAAAAUUGAUAUGGUAGAAAGCAUUUUGCCGUACUGGAUGUGUUUGCUGUUCAAAGACAGAUUUUUCUUACAGAAGGCUCUCUUAACAAAUCAUUUACUUUAUCAGGUGUUCAACCAAAGAAAAACUAUUUGUUCCAGUGCUGGAGGAAAACACGCUCUGUUGAUCAUCAGACAUCACACCACACUGUUCUAUAUAUUAUGGGCAAUUUAAGGGUAAAAUUGGAACCAACUUGGAAUUGGCCUCUGAUAUGGGGGCUCUGCUCUAUUUCCAGCAAGGUUCAUUUUCCUUUUCUUGUGGGGAGAGGGGAACUGGGGAUUUGAACUCAGGGGCACUUCACCACUGAGCCACAUCCCCAGCCCUAUUUUGUAUUUUAUUUAGAGACAGGGCCUCACUGAGUUGCUUAGCUCCUCGCUUUUGCUGAGGCUGGCUUUGAACUCAUGAUCCUGCUUCGGCCUCCCAAGCUGCUGGGAUUACAGGUGUGCACCACUGUACCUGGCUAAGGUUUAUUUCCCUAACACUAAGGUAUACCUGUCUCCCUCAUGGUACGAUUCAUGCUGGGCUCAUCUUCAUGAAUAUGAUUUGGAGCAGUCUCCCUGUUGCUUAUUGGAUCACACAACCUCAAGAAGUACAUGUAAUAGUCAGGAUAGGCUAUGGUGUGCUCUGGUUAACAAAACCCCCAAAAUCUAUUGCUUCACGUGGCAAACAUUUCUUGCUCCUGCUACAUACCUAUUGUGGGUCACUUGUGGCUAUAUUUGCUGUUUUCUCCCUGGGAUCCAGGCUGAUGGAGUCAUUUCUAGGUAGAACAUUACUGAUCACCCUCUUUUGGAAAAGGGAAGAGGGAGUUUAGCGAUUAUGUCAUUCUUACAUUUCAUUGGUUACAGCAAGUCACAUGAGCAAGUCUGAUGACCACUGAACAUUCAUGUGGAGAAAUCAAUCAUCAAUUGGAAACGUGUCCAGAGUGCAGGAGUGAGGUUAAGGCUGGAGCAAUGAAUUUUGAAGUCAGGAGUGUAUAGACAUGAUCUGAUGUCAUGAGACCGUCUGAAAAUGUCAGUAGGAAGAAGAAACCUGGGGGACUGUUCAGAGACUGAGCAGGGAGGGUGAGGUCAGCCACGGAAACAGGAGGUGCAGCCCAAAAGGCAGAAAGGAAAGUAGUGAUGUCCUGGAGCCCAGUGUGGGAGGAAGGGCGGCCACCUGUGCCCAGUGACAGGCAAGGCUGAACAAAAGGUGACCUACCUCCUGGAUUUAGUAACAGAAUGUCACUGCGGAUGCCUAUUAAAGCAGUUUCCAAAAAGCAAGGGGUGGAGACAAGCUAAUUGGAGUGGUUUGAAGAGGCUCAGUCAGCUUUUUGUCACUGUCACCAAAAUACCCAACAGAAACAACUUUAAAAAAGGAAAAAUGUAUUUUUCCGUCUGAAAUCCUCACAGUUUCAGAAGAUUCAGUUCAUGGUUGGCCAUCUCCAUUGCUCUGGGCAUGAGGUGAAGAAGAACAUCAUGGCAGAGGGAAGCUGUCAGCCAGGAAGGAGAGAGAGAGAAAGACAGAGGGAAGGACUGGGAGAAAAUAAACCCUUUCAGGGCAUACUCCAGUGACCUACUUCCUCCAAUGAGGUCCUAUCUCCCAGUAGUCCAAUCAGCUGUUAAUGGAUUAAUCCAUGCAGUGGAUUAAUCCACUGAUGAGGUCAGAGCCCUCCUGAUUCAAAGCCCACCUCUGUACAAAUGAGACUUUGGUGGACAUUCCAGAUCAAAACCAUAACAAGAGUUGAGGAAUGGAAACAGACUGGAGAACUCUGGAGAAAUUUGUCUCUAAAGGAAAAAGGAGAGACAGGAGUUGGAGAAGGUGGGGCGCUAAGGGAUCAUUUACCUGUUUUAUGUGGCAGAAAAAGUAGGGUGUUUUUCUAUACAGAUGACAGUGGCCAAGGACGGAAGGGUGUUGGGGGUAGAGGUAUAGCUCUGGAGGACAUGAUAGGUGAGAUCUAGGGUCCAAGGGGAGGAAUCCUUGCUGGGAACAGGAGGGAAGACAGAGUCCAGAUGCCCACACUGUGUUGAUUUGCUACUGGGAAGGGAGAGGCUUCCUGCCCAAUUGGCUUCUAUUUUCUCCAAGAGGUGAGAAAAAGUGGGCAGGAGUGUGGGAGUUGAGAACAGAGGAGGUGUGAAUGGUUGUUUUGAAGGGCAUCUCAUUCUAGAUAGAGAAACACAAUUAGAAGAGGGAGGCCUCCCCUGAAGUUUGGGCCAUGAGUUUAAAAUGAGACCAGCAGGCUCUGUGGGGUGUCCCUCCUCCAACAAUAAGCAGCUGGUCUGGGGCUGGCAAAGGAAGCCAGGGGGGUUAAGAAAGGAUGGAACUGGAGACAAAGAGUUAGGGGAGGUUUCACAUGAGUGAGUUACUUGGACAGAUCACAGAUGCUAAGCUGGGUACAACAGAAAUGAGAAGGGAUGAGGGCUCAAAAAGUGGUUGGAGGGGCUGGGGUUGUGGCGCAGAGGUAGAGCGCUCGCCUAGCAUGUGCGAGGCCCUGGGUUCUAUCCUCCGCACCACAUAAAAAUAAAGAUGUUGUGUCCAC